AGGAAGACACGCCUAGUCCAGAGAAACUGUACCACUGUGUUCGCUGUGUACACAACAAUACAGCCACCAGAAGCUUAAAAAAAAAAUAAACUGUUCCCAAUUAACGGAUUCACACGGACGUACCUGUAAUGGAGCGGAGCAACGUGAAGAGGACCGUGAAGAUAUUGUCAAGAUGAUGACGAUGAUGAUGCUAGUAGCCUAAAGUUUUCCGUACUGAGAUUUUUUCUACUUUUGGUGGGGCACUUUGCAAUACAGAUGUUCUGGUGAGCUUGCUCCAAAAAGUGGAUGUGAGGAGACACCAGCUCAAGAAUGAGAAGCACCUUUGUUCUACGGUUUCCAGGAAAAGUGGUGAGGUUCUCAAGGGGACAGGCAGCCAGUGGGAUGCGUGGCACAAAGAGGAAAGAGGUCGGAGGCGGCAGAUAGUGAGCUGCAGUGUACUACAGCAUACUGGGUCAUAGGAGGAGC